GUAGUGAAUAAGUCUCAUGAUAUCUGAUGGUUUGAUAACAGGAAACCUGUUUCUCUUGGCUCUCAUUCUCUUUUUGCCUGCUGCCAUCCACAUAAGAUGUGACUUGCUUCUCCUUGACUUCUGCCAUGAUUCUCCCCAGCCACGUGAAACUAGUCUUGCUCCGUCAUCCAAGCUGGAGUGCAGUGGUGCAAUCAUAGCUCACUGCAACCUCCACCUCCUGACUGAAGCAAAUCUUAUUCCUAACAGCUUGCAAAGUGGAUUUUAUCAUCAUCAUUUUAAAAAUUAUGGAAUCGAGGAUCAAAGAAGCCAAGUGACUCGUGCAAGAUGACACAUAUUAACAGAUGUGAAAGUUGUCAGAGUCAAAAUGAGUCACUAGUGUGAAAAAAAACUCUGACAAAUAGAGCCAGAGAAGACCAUGAAGAGAGGAUCCUCAUGCCUGAUAACAAAACUAUCACAAAAGACUCUGCAAAAGCCACAAGUUUAUACAAAGGCCAUCACAACCUUAUAUGAAAACUACUUCUGCAAGGACAUCUGCCCAGCAACUGCCUAUAGAACCUCACAGUGGCAUCAUUCUGGCUAUUGAUCUUUGUAGCUAGUUUUUUUUUUUUUUUUUCAAAAUGACUAGAUAAUAAUCCCAAUUUUUUCCUUUAAAAACUCGAAUAUGUAGAUCAUUUUACUAUGGCACAUGCAUUUCCAUUGAAAUGUGCUACUCCCAAAUAAACAUCAGUUUCUCAUAGAAAGCCUCACUCUGUUUGUUACCAUAUAUGGUGUCAGAAGUGGGAUCUGGGAAAGAUCACUAUCAGAAGAAAUCUGUGAUCUUUGAACCAGUGUGCACUACUCACUUGAGAAGUUUGAGCUCUCUGC
rnacentral:lncRNA from 1 species